AUUUAGAGCUGAAUGACUGUGUUCAGAGAAGGCACAAAAUGACACCCUCCUCCUUUUCAGGAAGCCACUUGGUUUUGUCUUUUUUUUUUUUUUUUUUUCAUCCGACAGAAAUAAUUGAUAAACCCAACGAGCAGCCGUCCACCUUAAAGGAGGCGCCCCCUCACCACCUGGUUAAAAUUCCUCCUCCUCUCCCCACCUCCCUCCAUCCAUUUUGCUCUGUGCUGUUUAAACAAUACUUCAUCAAAUGCAGCCUGGAGCAAAUAAGAAAGCUCAGUAGAGUAAAUAAAAAGUCAAAAAAAAAUCACCGGCUGGAGGACAAAGCUGAGCUUUACCGGAGUGAUCCUGUAUUUCGUCACAUUCAUAUAGAUCCUGCUGUCUGUUUCCUGAGUUCCCACAGGUACAGUUAUCCUCAUGGAGCAUUGAGAGAUUCCAGCCUCUGCCCUCUGAUACUUUUAGCCUCGGAACCAGAACAGCAGACCAGAAUAAGGGCAAUGGACUGCUAAUACCAAAGUAAAGUCUACUGUUUCCUCAACACAACCAGCCAGGAAGAGGUGGGCUGAGAUCCUUUGCUCCAACUUCUACCAGGCAAAAGAAAAUAAUGAACUUUGGCUAUAUUUACUGCAAGACCUACAAAAAUGAUGGUCCACUGGUAAUGAGCACACCACAUGCCCAGAUUGUAGUCUUUAAGUACUUUGUCCCAAACAAACCAAGCCUCUUUGGAAAGCUAGAUGAUUUCAAAGAUGGGUAGAAAAUAUAUGAGAUUAAUCUAGAAUAUCUUUCAGUGCCAGAAAACCAAGGACUGAUAAAAGGCUGCUAGAGUUGUGUCAAAGAACUUAGUAAAUGACAUGAAGAGCUACAAAAAAAAGUCAGCUAAAAGUCAAGCAAAGUGGUGCAAGCCUGUAGCCCCAGUGUUCCGGACAAUGAAGCAGGAAGAUCACUAUGAGUUUGUAGCCUGAGCUACAUAGUGAGUUGAAGACCAAUGUGAACCACACAGUGAAGCCAUGUCUCAGAAAACAAAAACAACAAAGCAAAAAACAAAAAACAAAAAACUACUGGGCCACAUUUGCAGAACAUAAAUAUAUCUACUCAUUAUUCUGAAAACAGAUCUCUAUGACUCAUAAUGAAACAGUGGAUCUAGACCAACAUCACCAAUGAAUGAUAAAAGCAUCCAUGUUGAUAGCAACAUCAUUCACAGUAGCCAAAAGGAAGAUGCUACCCAUACAUCCAUCAACAGAUCAACAAGAUGUAGCAUGUACUAUUAUUCAGGAGUAAGUCCUAUUUUAAACAGCAACAUGGAUAAAACUUGAAAACAUUAUGUUAUAUGAAAAAGUCAGAAAAGAAUAAAUUCUGUAUGAUCUCAUCCAUAUGAAGUAUAGUGGCCCCUCAAGUUACAACCAGCCUCACAUAGGAGCAACUUGGAUUAUGACUGGAAUUUUAGGUUUAACUUAUGACUACAGUCUUGAGUUACAACCUGAAUGCCAGCUGCUUGUGUUGUUAUAAACCCUCGCAAUGCCAGAAGAGUGAAUGUAAGCAUCAGUCUGAGCCCAGAUGCACCUUUGUGGAGGGGAUUUCAGUCAGGACUUUAUGUAAUCACUAUGAUUACUGCUAUCAAAAUGGCCCCUAAAAAGCUCUAAAGGAAGCUUAGGAGGGAAGGGAAAGUAAAGAAAGGAAUCAUAAUCAAAGAGAAGAAGAAAAUUAUGAAGAAAUAUGAGAAUGGCAUUCAUGUGGCCAAUGUUGCUAAUAUGUACAGCAUGUUGAAAUCCACCAUCUCAAAAAUCUUACAGAGAAAACAUCUGUAUAGGGAAGCUAGUGCUGCUAAAGAUGUUACUCAAAUUAGUAAGUUGUGAUCAAAAGUGUUAUAUGAGGUAGAAAAAUUAUUAGUAGUAUGGAUAAAUAAAAAGUAGAUGGUAGGUUGUAGCCUGUGGAAAAGCUAGGGAUAUAAAUGUCGAUCUUGUAAAGGAUAAUCCAUCAACGAGUGAUAAUGGUAAAAUAUUUUGUGCCAGGAAGGGGUGGUUUCACAAUUUUAUAGCGAGAACUGGGGUUUAUAGUGUAACUAGGCAUGGUGAAGUAGCCCAUGCUAAGAAGGGCUACUAAGUUACGUACACCACUUUGAAACAAUGCUGUGGAAAAAUGGCUUUUGCUCUCCUCAAGUCUUCAACUAUGAUGAAACUAGCCUUUUCUGGAAGAAAAUACCCAGAAAAACAUAUAUUACCCAAGGGAAAAAAAAAUGCCAGGACACAAGCUUAUGAAAGAUAGGUUAAACUUAUUGCUAUGUGCUAAUGUGAGUGGUGACCUCAAGAUAAAGCCUCACUUGAUUUAUCACUCUGAAACCCUACAGUGUUCAGAAAAUAUAAAAUUGUGAAGAAUAGGCUAGGGUUCCUGUGGAGAUCUAAUGUAAAAGCCUAGAUAACAAGAGCACAUUUUCUGGAGGAUCAGGGAGGCUCUCUGUCCUACUGUUAAGAAAUAUCUAGAGGACAAAGGUUUACCACUCAAGGUUCCUCUCACCAUGGAUAGUGCUCCUACUCACCCAUGAGAUUUGGAAAAACGUGGCUGAAAUAUUCCCGUGCCUCUCAGUCAAGUUCCUCCUACCUAAUGCAACUCCUUACUGCAGCAUAUGGACCAGCAGGUUACAGCUAACUUUAAGAAGCUAUAUACACACAAAAAAGGAGAAGGAGAAGGAAGAGGAGGAGGAGGAGAAGGAAGAGAAGGGGGAGGAGGAGAAAGAAGGAAAAGGAGAAGGAAACUAUACACCAAGAAAGUGUCCCUAAAAUGCUUCCAUAUGGUCUCAGAUACAGAUUUAACUCUGGAAGAGUUCUGGAAGGAGCAUUACAACAUUGUUUCCCAUGUAGAGUUAACUGAGAAAUUCAGGGCCAAUAUCUCUCUCAGGACACUAAAUCUGCCUGGAAGAAUGUGUGACCUAAGAUUAUACAAGAGAGACUUUGAAAGUUGUGUAAGGGCGCCUGAGCCUUCAGUUGACCCUGUGACUGAUGACACUGCCACUAGAGUUGAGCCUAUAGGCUUGCAGGUAAACAGUGGUGAUCUUGAGGAUCUGGUGUAGGAACACUCAGAGCAAGUGUCUACAGAGGAACUUCAGCAAUUCCCGGAGCACCAGCAACAGAGAGAAUGGCAGCUGAACAUCCUUCUGAAGAAUAGGGAGGUAUCAACAAUCAGCACAGCGAAGUUUUUCUUCUGAAAUAAAGGAAGUCCUAAAACAAAAUGGACAGAGCUACAGACAUUCAUAGAGAAAACCAUAUUAUAGAACAACGCUACAAAAAAGACAGAAACAGACAACCUUAGACUAGUUUUUAGUUCUGAAAAAGUUGAGACCCAGUGAGCCAGAAGAAGUUCCUACUUGGCUCAGCCCCUCCCAAGGAGAGAAGGGACACAGAGAGCCAGAUUCCUGAAGUUCUUAUAGAAGGGGACUCUCCUUCCAAACGGUAACUGCCCUCUUCCUGCAGGCCGAAAUGCCAACUCAGAAGGUGAGUAUAGUAUGAAACUGUUGUUUCUGGUAAACUAGGCACAUUUCUAAACUUUUUGGUGAAUACACUAGGAAAAUUCUUGAUGUUUCUGGUAAAUUACAUAUAUACAGCCUUUUUAAUUAUGAAAAAUUAGUUAAGGGUUGAUUUGGGAGUUUCAGAACACAGUAUGGGUAUUUCCAUUAUUUCUUACGGGAAAAAUAGUCUUGACUUACAACCAAUUUGAGCUACAACCAGCCCUCACAAAUGAAUUCAGUUUAUAAGUCAAGUGUCCACUGUACUUGGAGUAGUCAAAUCCUUAAAAGUUAUAAAGUAAAAUGUAAAAAAAAGAAAACAGGAAAGUCAAAUGUGGUCUACAGGACCUAGGAAUAUGGGAGAAUGGGGAGUUACAGUUCAGGGGUACUAAGUUUCAGUGGGUACAGUCUUUCUGUGUGCUACUGUAACAAAAGAGCCACAUGAGUAAUUUGUAAUGAACUGUAAUUUAGGCUAGCCUUGGUGGUGCACACCUGUAAUCCCAGCACUUGGGAGGCUGAGGCAGGAGGAAUGCCACAAAUUCAAGGGCAACCUGAACUAUACAACAACCUUCUCAAAAAAAAAAAAAAAAACAGUAAUUUAUUCUCUCAUAUUUCUAAAGGCUGAAGAAUAAAAAAAUCAAGACAAUGGAGGUUCAACAUCUGGUGAAGACCACUCUCUUCCUCCAAGACAGCACCCUUUAGUUCCAUCCUCAUGAGUGGAGGAAGGAGCACUGAGAUGAAUCCACUGGUAAUGAGCAUCCCACAGGGCAGAGAGUGGAAGAGCAAGUGAGCCUCACCGUGGGUGAAGCCACAUUGGUGCUACUUACAUUUUGGAGGAAACACAUGCAAACCACAGAGAUGAUGAAAAGACGUAAAAAUGAAUGGUGGUGGUGGUUGCACAUCAACGUGAGUCCACCAACUAUACACUUUACUAUGGUUUAAAAAGUCAACUUUAUGCUAAUGUAAAUAACAUGAUAAUGGUAGAUUUGAAACACUUAUUGAUGUAUUUAGCAUGCACACUUACACAUAUGUAUGCAUAUUCUACCACACUAAAGUAAAAUAUGAAGUGAGGAUUUUGACCCAAACCCUGAUCAAUCAAUAAAAACAGAAACAAGACAUCUCUAUACUUCAUGAAAUAUGGCAACCAGUACACGGCCACCUCUCCAACGUCCUCUUAUCCUACAAGUCUUAAAUGUAAAAUAGUCACCAGAUUAAAACACUGGCUUAUCGUACAGAAUAAAAGGAUAAUUUGUGCCACCAACUAGAAACAAAUAGAAAAAUUCAGGCUAUGGGACAUUUCACAGAAAGUAAGAAAGGAUGUUGAGAAGCCUGUGUCUGUGUGAAUAAACCUAUUCCUAAAAGAAAAUGGUUAAUAAUAAAAGAGGAAGCAAAGCAACAAGACUAUUGGAAUUUUCUACUCUGGAGCCACCAAAUUCUAUGCAAAGUAGGAAUGGUGAAAAUUAUAAAAACAACAAACAUGCAUGGUCUAGGCAGCACCAUUUGAGUUUAUAUUAUGACUGUAGACCACAUUGUUGUUUUACAAGUUCUCCCUGGCCACGGAGAUGGAGAAACCUCAAAUGCCCAGACCUGUGUUGGAGGACUGAGUAGAUGCUUCAAUUCAUUCUCAGAAAAAGGUGCUGGGAAGGCAUGGAACAAUGAGCAAAAAUACAUAAUAAUCCUGCACAAUCGACUAUGUAAGAGGUUGCAAGCAAAGCUUCUGUGUUAGGAGGGAGAAUAAUUUUAGGCAGUAAGGCCAGGAAAUACGUGGGAUAGGGGACUUUAUCUCAGGAAACCAAUCUGCUUUGCCUGAGAAUCGAGGGACUCCAAGGACAGGGGACUUUCUAUGUUAACACAGAGACAGCCUGAGGCAAUAUUCUGUGCAAAGUAGGAAUGGUGAAUUCAGAUGCAUGAGGACACUGGCUCUGUCACACAUUUUGGAGUACAGUGGUAUUUCAGUUUAUGAAUUUAAAAUUGUUUCACAAUUUUGGAAAAGAUGGCUUUGUUUGUGAGGGAAAGAUGGCUACAUCUUUUAAAGAUGUUUGUAGGGCUUGCAGAUAAAGACAAAAUUUUGCCAAAUACUUUUGCUUGUGAACCAAACUGUUUGAAAACAAAAGCAUUUGUGAAUGAAGGUACCGCUGUAUUUGAUGUGUGUACAAAUGAAACAAAAACUCACUUUUAUGAAACAUAAUUAACAAGCAUCUGCAGGAAAAUUCUGGGAUAAAUAAUAUUUUUAAAAUACAAUGAAUGCUCUGUAUGAAAGUAUCAAGUAUCAGAAUAUAGGCAACUACUUUGAAGGCAAUAAGAUUCACUAUGAUGCCCAUUCUGGUUUGACUAUUAUCCUCUUUUGAGGUUCUGUAAGAUUUACAAUGUUUAGGUUUUAUUGGUCUUGUUCUCUACUGUUUUGUUCAACUUUAUAAUACCUAAUGAGAUAGACAAUUCUUCUUAAGGAAGCAAGAAGCAUUAUGGUAACCAUUGUUGAUAACCUUGUACUCUGUUUUUACAUCAUGUGCUAUGUCUAUCUUUGGUUUUGACUGACAGCUUUGUUUUAUCAUGCUUGAUUUUAUUCUCUUACAAAAAAAGUAAUAAGAUCUAAGGGAGCAAUAAAACCCAAAAUGUGUAAGUUUUGUUGUAAUAAACAGAGGGAAAAAAAGUGCCCUAAAGGAUACAACAGCAAGGGUGUUUAGGUGUGUUAAAAGAAGACCAUAUUAACAUUUUUUAUUGGAUUACUGAACACAACUAUUUGCAGUCUCACUGUUUGAAUGUUCACUUUGUAUGCUUUGAUCCUGUGACCUGAAACACCGUUUCUAAAAUGAUAGCGUGUAAUCUAUUAACUGGUGAUAGCUUACUGUUUUUUUGUAGUUCUGAAUUACUUGUACUCUUACACUGUUUUGUUUUGUUCUGCUUUUUUUCUCUUUUUCAUUUUAAAUUAAAAAAAAAUACAAUGAAAAGAUCAGACUUACAAUUAAAACCUUCUUCCAAAAUGGGGGUAUAUUUUUAACUAAGGAAUAUGCCCAGAAUUGAGGUCAGGCCUAAUGUGCCCACUUUCACUUUGCUUCAUACAUUUUACUUUGCUGAUCAUUCCCGCUAUUAGGAGAAAAAUCUUACAGGAGGACUGCCAAUUUAAAUCCUGUCACCAUGGGUCCAUCUCGUGAAUUAAGACCAAGCCAUGGCAAAAGUGCUGAGUGAGAGAGAACAAUUACCAAGUUCAUGGCUUCAGGUUCUGUUUACCCUGAUACUGUCCAGGAUAAUCAUUUAUUUCUAGCUGCCUUCUAAGUUUUAUUAAGCUGUUCAGAAAAGUUUCAGCCAUGCUUUAUGACUGUGUGAACUGCCUGUGUAUCCAUUUCACAACUUGAUUCAUUCUGAUUAAAUUGUUCAACUGUUAAUGAGUUUUAGAUUGCAAUAUGGAGAGGCAAACAAUUCAGAACAUUAAGGCAGUAAAAUAUCUUAAUAUUUCACAAGUUCUCACUGAAAACAUAAAACAAAAGGCUCAUUUCUGC